rnacentral:rRNA from 1 species
AUUGAACGCUGGCGGCAGGCCUAACACAUGCAAGUCGAGCGGAGCGGCGGAAGGGUGAGUAAUGCCUAGGAAUCUGCCUGGUAGUGGGGGAUAACGUCCGGAAACGGGCGCUAAUACCGCAUACUAUCAGAUGAGCCUAGGUCGGAUUAGCUAGUUGGUGGGGUAAAGGCCUACCAAGGCGACGAUCCGUAACUGGUCUGAGUGGAUGAUCAGUCACACUGGAACGUGGCCACGUUCCAGACUCCUCCGGGGGGCAGCAGUGUGGAAUAUUGGACAAUGGGCGAAAGCCUGAUCCAGCCAUGCCGGGUGUGUGAAGAGGGUCUUCGGUUUGUAAAGCCCUUUGUGUUGGAAGGCGUUACUAACAGAAGAGGCACCGGCUAGCUUCGUGCCAGCAGCGGCGGUAAUU